rnacentral:rRNA from 1 species
AGAGUUUGAUCAUGGCUCAGGAUGAACGCUAGCUACAGGCUUAACACAUGCAAGUCGAGGGGAAACGACAUCGAAAGCUUGCUUUUGAUGGGCGUCGACCGGCGCACGGGUGAGUAACGCGUAUCCAACCUGCCCACCACUUGGGGAUAACCUUGCGAAAGUAAGACUAAUACCCAAUGACGUCUCUAGAAGACAUCUGAAAGAGAUUAAAGAUUUAUCGGUGAUGGAUGGGGAUGCGUCUGAUUAGCCUGUUGGCGGGGUAACGGCCGCCAAGGCUACGAUCAGUAGGGUUCGUGAGAGGAAGGUCCCCACAUUGGAACUGAGACACGGUCCAAACUCCUACGGAGGCA